CGCGGGGUAGAGCAGCCCGGUAGCUCGUCAGGCUCAUAACCUGAAGGUCAUUGGUUCAAAUCCAGUCCCCGCAACCA
rnacentral:tRNA from 1 species